AGGGCACCACCAGGAGUGGAGCCUGCGGCUUAAUUUGACUCAACACGGGAAAACUUACCCGGCCCGGACACUGGCAGGAUUGACAGAUUGAGAGCUCUUUCUUGAUUCAGUGGGUGGUGGUGCAUGGCCGUUCUUAGUUGGUGGAGCGAUUUGUCUGGUUAAUUCCGAUAACGAACGAGACUCUAGCCUACUAAAUGGGCCACCGGCUUACUGACGUCGGUGGGACUUCUUAGAGGGACAGGCGGCGAUUCAGCCGCACGAAACAGAGCAAUAACAGGUCUGUGAUGCCCUUAGAUGUCCGGGGCCGCACGCGCGCUACACUGAAGUGAUCAGCGUGCAUUACAAACCUGCUCCGUCAGGAGUGGGGAACCCAAUGAACCUUCUUCGUGAUUGGGAUAGGGGAUUGUAAUUAUUCCCCUUGAACGAGGAAUUCCCAGUAAGCGCGAGUCAUAAGCUCGCGUUGAUUACGUCCCUGCCCUUUGUACACACCGCCCGUCGCUACUACCGAUUGAAUGAUUU
rnacentral:rRNA from 1 species